CUGCAUGAAGCCGGAAUCGCUAGUAAUCGCGGAUCAGAAUGCCGCGGUGAAUACGUUCCCGGGUCUUGUACACACCGCCCGUCACACCAUGGGAGUCGGGAAUGCCCGAAGUCGGUGACCUAACUGCAAAGGAGGAGCCGCCGAAGGCAGGCCCGGUAACUGGGGUGAAGUCGUAACAAGGUAGC
rnacentral:rRNA from 1 species